GACGAACGCUGGCGGCGUGCUUAACACAUGCAAGUCGAACGGAAAGUGCUCUUCGGAGUGACUCGAGUGGCGAACGGGUGAGUAACACGUGGGUGAUCUGCCCUGCACUUUGGGAUAAGCCUGGGAAACUGGGUCUAAUACCGAAUAGGACCAUGGCCUUCAUGGGUUGUGGUGGAAGGCUUUUGCGGUGUGGGAUGGGCCCGCGGCCUAUCAGCUUGUUGGUGGGGUAAUGGCCUACCAAGGCGACGACGGGCAGCCGGCCUGAGAGGGUGACCGGCCACACUGGGACUGAGAUACGGCCCAGACUCCUACGGGAGGCAGCAGUGGGGAAUAUUGCACAAUGGGCGCAAGCCUGAUGCAGCGACGCCGCGUGAGGGAUGACGGCCUUCGGGUUGUAAACCUCUUUCAGUAGGGACGAAGCGCAAGUGACGGUACCUAUAGAAGAAGGACCGGCCAACUACGUGCCAGCCGCCGCCGUAA
rnacentral:rRNA from 1 species